rnacentral:misc_RNA from 1 species
UGACAACACUCAAUAACAAGCCCUUACUUAUUUGGAAAGCCUCCCUUGCAAGAAGAGGAACAGAAAAGGUUCCACUUAACUGUUAGUAGUGGAGAUGGUGAUGGUAUCCAUGACCAUAAUAAUUGGCUUGUUACAAGAAAAUUCACUCAAUAUGAAACAAAGGAAGGCCAUUGAACUCUCCCCAUAAUGUUACAUAAAUUACAUUCUUCAAUUUCUCACAGGUAGACUAAUCCAAAUUGAUGGGCAAAACAAUCCAUCUUCUGGGAUCCAAUCCUAUCUAAAAAUCUUUUGAACAUGCAAAUAUGAAGCAAAGAUGAAUCUGGGAGCAAGCCUAGCACACAGUUUGAGAAUAAUAACUCUUCUCUGUACAAGCCAUCCACCCCAUCAAAAACUAAUGCUAUAUGUACGAGACAUUCUCUAUUGUAAGAAGUAAAA